AUUGCUUCUCGGCCUUUUGGCUAAGAUCAAGUGUAGUAUCUGUUCUUAUCAGUUUAAUAAUAGUAAUAUUAUUAUGCUAUUAUGUAUAAUAAUACUAUAU
ensembl:snRNA U2 U2 spliceosomal RNA